CAAGUGCGGCGGGGCCAUUUUACCAGUUCUCACGGGAACUCUCAAAUCCCACAAUCCCCACCAUUUUGUUUAUUUAUUUAAUAUCCAGAUUUUCUUUCGCUUGAUCCACCUUCUUCGGCGCCAAAUCCAAACACUAAUUUCCAACAAUAUUCUUCAAAAUUAUUUCAUUUUUUUCCUGGUUGUGAUCUGUGAGUAUUUUUGAAGAUGGAAAUCGAGGAAAAGCAAGCAGAGUUAAUUGAUCAGUUCGUGAAGCAAGCAUCGGCUCAGAAGGGUUCAGCUCUUGGCCCUAUAAUCGAUGAAGCGACGUCGCAUCCUUCACUUUUCGCCUUCUCUGAGAUUCUUGCAGUGCCCACUGUCGCUGAGCUUGAAGGAACUGACAACUCAGUGCACCUUGAGGUGCUUCGAUUGUUUGCUCAUGGCACGUGGAGUGAUUACAAGAGGAAUAGCGGUAGGCUUCCUCAACUGGUUCCGGAUCAAGUCCUCAAGUUAAAGCAACUUACUGUCCUUGCACUUGCGGAGACAAACAAGGUACUAUCAUAUGGUAAGCUAAUGCUGGAGUUAGAUGUCACAAAUAUUCGUCAACUUGAAGAUUUUCUGAUCAAUGACUGCAUGUAUGCGGGUCUAGUUAGAGGAAAGCUGGAUCAGCUGCGAAGAUACUUUGAGGUUCAAUUCGCUGCUGGUAGGGAUUUGAGGCCAGGACAACUUGGAAGUAUGAUACAAACACUAUCAAACUGGUUGGCUACGUCAGAAAACUUACUUAUCACAAUUCAAGAAAAGAUAAAAUGGGUUGAUAAUAUGAGUGAAUUGGACAAGAAACAUCGAAAGGAGCUUGAAGAUAGGGUGAUGGAAGUAAAGAAAUCCGUUGCCAUCAAGCUUCCUUACAUUAUCACAGAAGUAACACUGCAAUUAUUCUGAUGAAAUCUACUCUGAACCCGGUGGACUGAUGGACCGCGAGGAAGGCCAAAACCUACCCAAGAGGAGAAGGCUCUGAUGUCCUGAAGAUAUAACAUACAAUUUAUUGGAUGGGUGUUUAGAGGACCAGCCGGAUUAUUUUGUUCACGACAUUCCCAGCAACCAAUGAUUCUGCUUUUCAGACUGAUACUGCUGCUUUGGUAGUGAAUUUGUCAUUAUGGCGUUAGAAUCCGAGAAUCAGUAGCAUAUCUUAAACCCAUCGAUAUUCGGAUUGAUUAGAGAAGACUAGGACUAGAUAUGGACUGGAAAAUUUAAACUACUUAGAUAUCCAAGAUUUACAAAUUCAAGUUAUUGCACUUUUCGAUAUUGAACUCCAUGCUGCCUUCCGAAUAUCGUAUCUUGCUUAUUGCUCUGUGUGGCUAAUGGUUCCAUUAUGUUGGAAAAGCUUUAUUCAAGCGUUCUUGUUUCCGGUACAUUGUUUGUCUGCCAGACUGAUCUGAACUUUGAAUGCAACAGUGCAGUAUGAAUCAACCAUUCUAGGGUGGAACUGACCGGAAGCCGCUUUGGACAUACAUCGUAUGAUGGUGGAAUUUUGCUCACUCUUGCAGCCACUUCGGUUUUGUAGGCGCGGGAUUUGUGGCGUUUCUCGUUUUUAUCAUUUGGUUCGUUUUGUUCUUAUGUGCCUUGCUUAUUCAACGGUGGUUGAGAAUAUCAUUGAGAAAAAGAAAACGUUUAUGGGUUCGUGAAUCCAUCGGUGGCGUCUUUG